rnacentral:snRNA from 1 species
AGCUUUGCGCAGUGGCAAUAUCGUAGCCAAUGAGGUAUAGCCGAGGAGUGAUUAUUGCUAAUUGAAAAUUCAUCAAUGCCCUCAAGAAACUGCCUUUCUAGACUCAUCUCCAGCUG